CUCCCGGAUUCAAACGAUUCUCCUGCCUCAGCCUCCCCAGUACCUGGGACUACAGGCGUAUGCCACCACGCCCGGCUAAUUUUUUGUAUUUUUAGUAGAGAUGGAGUUUCACCGUGUUAGCCAGGAUGGUCUUGAUCUCCUGACCUCGUGAUCCCCCGCCUUGGCCUCCCAAAGUGCUGGGAUUACAGGCGUUAACUGCACCCGGCCUCAAAAAAAUAAUUUUCGUCUGAUAAAUGUGGGUCCUUUUAAAUGAACGGGCACAUAGAGACAUUCAAAUGAUACAGCAAUCACCUUCUAACUCCCUGAAGCUAUUAAUUCAUCUUUUGAAACAGCUAUUGCCACAAAUAGGUAUAACUAACUUACUAAUGCAGCACGGGACACUGGAACCCACACCCUAUACCUUAACAGUGCAUAGCCACGUGCUUAUCAAUGUUACUUCUGUAAAUCAGUGAGCAUUCCUGACAAAGAACUUUGUAUCAGCCCACAUCUUGUCCCCCUUUUUCAGGCACUUUGGGUCAUAUUUUGUGCUUCAGCCUCUACUUUUUAGGGAAAAGAUGGAAAUGUUUCCUGUCCUUUGAAUUCUCUCAGUCUUGUGAAGGGAGAAAAACUGUCUCAGCAAGGUAGUGGAAGAACCUGAGAAACAAAAUGCACUUCAGGUCUUAAGACCCCCAUUUCAGAAAGGAUCCUACCCUCUACCCAGGAGGAAAGAAUGUACACAGAGGCUAAGAAGAGUCAGCAGACAGGCGUUAUUGGUUUUCCCACUCAAUCUAUUAGUAUUAGUCCAUACCCUUUUUGUCCAAUUGCAGUUCUACGGGGUGUUCCAUACUUUUAUCAUUCCAAUUGAGUGACGUCUGUAUAAAACGCCAUGCUUUUAUCAUUCCUAUUGAACGAUGUCUGUAUAAAAGGCCCAAGAGGAUGGGGUAUGGGGAGCUUCUGGACAGCUGAACUCAGGGAGGCUUGUGUUACAGGAAGGUGGUCAAGAACUCAUCCUCAUGCCAGGAGCGAGUCAUACCCUAACUACCAGAAUGGAAGCUCCUGUGCUUGGGACCCUUGUACACCUUGCCCUAUACAUCUCCACCUGGCUGUUUAUUUGUAGUCUUUAAAAUAGCCUUUAUAAUAAACUUGUAAACGUG